rnacentral:rRNA from 1 species
AGUGAACGCUGGCGGUAGGCCUAACACAUGCAAGUCGAACGGCAGCACAGUAAGAGCUUGCUCUUACGGGUGGCGAGUGGCGGACGGGUGAGGAAUACAUCGGAAUCUACUUUUUCGUGGGGGAUAACGUAGGGAAACUUACGCUAAUACCGCAUACGACCUACGGGUGAAAGCAGGGGAUCUUCGGACCUUGCGCGAUUGAAUGAGCCGAUUUCGGAUUAGCUAGUCGGCGGGGUAAAGGCCCACCAAGGUGACGAUCCGUAGCUGGUCUGAGAGGAUGAUCAGCCACACUGGAACUGAGACACGGUCCAGACUCCUACGGGAGGCAGCAGUGGGGAAUAUUGGACAAUGGGCGCAAGCCUGAUCCAGCCAUACCGCGUGGGUGAUGAAGGCCUUCGGGUUGUAAAGCUCUUUUGUUGGGAAAGAAAAGCAGCAGGUUAAUCCCCCGCUGUUCUGACGGUACCCAAAGAAUAAGCACCGGCUAACUUCGUG